UACAGAGGUCCCAAGCGUUGUUCGGAUUCAUUGGGCGUAAAGGGUGCGUAGGCGGCGCGGUAAGUCGGGUGUGAAAUCUCGGGGCUUAACUCCGAAACUGCAUUCGAUACUGCCGUGCUUGAGGACUGGAGAGGAGACUGGAAUUUACGGUGUAGCGGUGAAAUGCGUAGAUAUGACAUAGAACACCAAUUGCGAAGGCAGCUGGCUACACGAAUAUUGACACUGAUGCACGAAAGCGUGGGGAUCAAACAGG
rnacentral:rRNA from 1 species